GACGAACGCUGGCGGCGUGCUUAACACAUGCAAGUCGAACGGAAAGGCCCUGCUUUUGUGGGGUGCUCGAGUGGCGAACGGGUGAGUAACACGUGAGUAACCUGCCCUUGACUUUGGGAUAACUUCAGGAAACUGGGGCUAAUACCGGAUAGGAGCUCCUGCUGCAUGGUGGGGGUUGGAAAGUUUCGGCGGUUGGGGAUGGACUCGCGGCUUAUCAGCUUGUUGGUGGGGUAGUGGCUUACCAAGGCUUUGACGGGUAGCCGGCCUGGGAGGGUGACCGGCCACAGUGGCACUGGGGUACGGCCCAGGGGCCUACGGGGGGAAGGGGUGGGGAAUAUUGCACAAUGGGCGGAGGCCUGAUGCAGGAUCGCCGGGUGCGGAUGACGGCCUUCGGGGUGUAAACCGCUUUCGCCUGUGACGAAGCGUGAGUGACGGUAAUGGGUAAAGAAGCACCGGCUAACUACGUG
rnacentral:rRNA from 1 species